AACACAUUCAGAAAGAAAGAAAGUAAAAACAAUAGAAAUAAAAGUAAUAAUAAUAAAAUUAAUAACAACAACCAAAAAUAUAUUAAAUUAAAACAAAUAAUUAUACACUUUUAAAUUAAAACAUCAACAAAACAAAAUAAUAUCCUCCCAAGCGUGCACACAAGGACUCAAACCCAAAACCUAAAGGUUCGCAAACACUCACUCAACCACUAGACCAGCAGGUCCAUUUUGAC
rnacentral:lncRNA from 1 species